rnacentral:rRNA from 1 species
UCAGGCCUAACACAUGCAAGUCGAACGACAGCACAAGAGAGCUUGCUCUCUGGGUGGAGAAAAACGGACGGGUGAGUAACGCGUAGGAAUCUGCCUUUAAGUGGGGGAUAACUUGGGGAAACUCGAGCUAAUACCGCAUAAUCCCGAAAGGGCAAAGAGGGGGACCAGUAAGGGCCUCUCGCUUAUAGAUGAGCGUGCGUCAGAUUAGCUUGUUGGUAGGGUAAGGGCCUACCAAGGCGACGAUCUGUAGCUGGUCUGAGAGGACGGCCAGCCACACUGGGGUGGGGAGGCGGCCCAGACUCCUACGGGAGGCAGCAGUGGGGAAUAUUGGACAAUGGGGGAA